ensembl:lincRNA
AGGACACAGCACACCCCCCAUUUAAUAACAGAAAAUAUUUAUCCCUGCAUACGAUGGAGAUACCCAUGGAAAUUCCAAAAAUCACUGUGUGUGUGGAAGUGGGGUGUCUUUACAUGGGGUUGGUCCUUCAAUGAUCUUGGUUUAAGAAUUCACCCUUGAAGCUGAAAACGAAAGACAAUUGAGGAUGGCCAAGACAGGAAGUAGUGCCCAGUACCAAGGACAGCGCUGCUCCCUGGACAGCAAGGUUGAUUUAGGAAGCAACCUGUUUCCAAAAUAAUAGAAAAGGCCUGUGCUCUGCGUCAGGAAGGAGGUCUUUGUAUCUCCUUCCAUGAGUUGGAAGAGAAAAAAAUGUCAUGGAUAUUCUGGAAGCUCCUUGAAUCCCUGGAUACUUGACUCCUCAGGCAGACCUCUGGUGAGAUUGAGAAAGAGUCCAGACUGGUGUCAAUAUCACCCUGUUGGCCUUGGUUACCUAUCCAGUAUCCAUGCCCCUACCAAUCGUUUCUCCCAUUCCACGGAUCCUGGAUUGGGCUCAGGGACAACUGCCUCCUCCGGAAGGAAGAGAGCUGGUCUCCCUCAGAAUAGAGUGCAGCUGAAGGAGGAGCAGCAGAGCCAAAGCAGCCCACCUUGGUGCCCUGGAUCCCGCCCCACCUCUGGGUUUCUUGUCCUGUGAGAUGAUAAAACUCCUUCUUGUUUGGGCUGGAUGACCUACAGCCAGAGGCAUGCACUCUGAUAAUCGCCAGUCCAUGAGGAAAAGGCCAGGGGACCCUCUGGGCACCCCCUCCUCAGAGCCUCUCCCUCUGGCAAGAGUUUCCUCUCCAUCUCCUUUUCUUGGCUUCACCUGGAAACAAAACUGACAAACCAUAUGUUCCACAGGCCUGAGCUCAUCUCUAAUUAGUGCUCAGAGGCAGUGGUGGGGCUGCCGGGAGGGGCUGGCUUAAGAAGUCUGCUCCCUGCCUCCCACCUACAGAGCUAAGGGAGCCUCUCGACCCUGCACUCAUAUUCCUCUCC